AAGGUGAUCGGCCACACUGGGACUGAGACACGGCCCAGACUCCUACGGGAGGCAGCAGUAGGGAAUCUUCCGCAAUGGACGAAAGUCUGACGGAGCAACGCCGCGUGAGUGAUGAAGGCUUUCGGGUCGUAAAACUCUGUUGUUAGGGAAGAACAAGUGCUAGUUGACAAGCUGGCACCUUGACGGUACCUAACCAGAAAGCCACGGCUAACUACGUGCCAGCAGCCGCGGUAAUACGUAGGUGGCAAGCGUUAUCCGAAAUUAUUGGGCGUAAAGCGCGCGCAGGUGGUUUCUUAAGUCUGAUGCGAAAGCCCACGGCUCAACCGUGGAGGGUCAUUGGAAACUGGGAGACUUGAGUGCAGAAGAGGAAAUGGGAAUUCCUGGUGUAGCGGUGAUGCGUAGAGAAAUAAUGAAGGGAACACCAGGUGGGCGAAGGCGA
rnacentral:rRNA from 1 species